GACGAACGCUGGCGGCGUGCUUAACACAUGCAAGUCGAACGGAAAGGCCCUGCUUUUGUGGGGUGCUCGAGUGGCGAACGGGUGAGUAACACGUGAGUAACCUGCCCUUGACUUUGGGAUAACUUCAGGAAACUGGGGCUAAUACCGGAUAGGAGCUCCUGCUGCAUGGUGGGGGUUGGAAAGUUUCGGCGGUUGGGGAUGGACUCGCGGCUUAUCAGCUUGUUGGUGGGGUAGUGGCUUACCAAGGCUUUGACGGGUAGCCGGCCUGAGAGGGUGACCGGCCACAUGGGGACUGAGAUACGGCCCAGACUCCUACGGGAGGCAGCAGUGGGGAAUAUUGCACAAUGGGCGGAAGCCUGAUGCAGCAACGCCGCGUGCGGGAGGACGGCCUUCGGGUUGUAAACCGCUUUCGCCUGUGACGAAGCGUGAGUGACGGUAAUGGGUAAAGAAGCACCGGCGAAAUACGG
rnacentral:rRNA from 1 species